UACGUAGGGGGCUAGCGUUGUCCGGAAUCAUUGGGCGUAAAGAGCGUGUAGGCGGCCCGGUAAGUCCGCUGUGAAAGUCGGGGGCUCAACCCUCGAAUGCCGGUGGAUACUGUCGGGCUAGAGUGCGGAAGAGGCGAGUGGAAUUCCUGGUGUAGCGGUGAAAUGCGCAGAUAUCAGGAGGAACACCAAUUGCGAUGGCAGCUCGCUGGGACGUAACUGACGCUGAGACGCGAAAGCGUGGGGAGCAAACAGG
rnacentral:rRNA from 1 species